rnacentral:rRNA from 1 species
GACGAACGCUGGCGGCGUGCUUAACACAUGCAAGUCGAACGGAAAGGCCCCUUUGGGGGUACUCGCGUGGCGAACGGGUGAGUAACACGUGAGUAACCUGCCCUUGACUUCGGUAUAACUUCAGGAAACUGGGGCUAAUACCGGAUAGGAAUCCUUGCUGCAUGGUGGGGGUUGGAAAGCUUCGGCGGUUUUGGAUGGACUCGCGGCUUAUCAGCUUGUUGGUGGGGUAGUGGCUUACCAAGGCUUUGACGGGUAGCCGGCCUGGGAGGGCGACCGGCCACAUUGGGACUGAGAUACGGCCCAGACUCCUACGGGAGGCAGCAGUGGGGAAUAUUGCACAAUGGGCGGAAGGCUGAUGCAGCAACGCCGCGGGCGGGAUGACGGCCUUCGGGUUGUAAACCGCUUUCAGCAGGGGAGAAGCUUGUGGUGACGGUACCUGCAGAAGAAGCACCGGCUAACUACGUG